rnacentral:snRNA from 1 species
UGAGAAACUAAGUGGAGCAGCAU